rnacentral:tRNA from 1 species
GGUUGCGUGGCCGAGUGGUCUAAGGCGCUAGAUUAAGGACUAGCCAGCUUAAGCUGGCAGGUAGGCCUCUAGUCCGAAAGGGCGCAGGUUCGAACCCUGCCGCAGCCA